rnacentral:misc_RNA from 1 species
AACACUGUUAACCUGCGGUACCUGCGGAAGGAUCAUUAAAAAGAGUGUGUACCCCUCUGUAAAAUGAGUGGGUUACCUCCCGUCCUUUGUUGACCUCUUAGGAGGUUAUUUUGAACUUUCUGCUUCGGUGGGGUUAAACCUACCGGAACACCCUCAAAUUCUUAUCAUUUAAAAAUUGUUCAGUCUGAUUUUUGUUAAUAAAAACAAAAAACUUUCAGCAACGGAUCUCAGAUCGGAAGA